rnacentral:lncRNA from 10 species
GCUUGGGAGGCAGAGGCAAGCAGAUCACUUGAGGUCAGGAGUUUGAGACCAACCUGUCCAACAUGGCAAAACCCCACCUCUACUAAAAAUACAAAAAUUAGCCGGGUGUGGUGGUGGGCGCCUGUAGUCCCAGCUACUCAGGAGGCUGAGGCACGAGAAUUUCUUGAACCCUGGAGGUGGAGGUUGCAGUGAGCCAAGAUCGUGCCACUGCACUCUAGCCUGAGCAACAUAGCAAGACUCUGUCUCAAAAAAAAAAAAAAAAAAAAAAGGAAAAGUUUUGUGAAACAAAUGAACAAAUGAGUGAAGAGCCCUUUUGGUUCUUUUUAUGGUUCUCAGUAUCUUAGAUUUUCCAAAGUUCAGUUUCAUUACCUGUUCUCUCUUCCAGGAUCUGUGGAAGGAUCUACAAGCAAAGUAAACAGCUUAAUAUACAAAACAAAAAAGUAUUGUCACACUGUUGAGCACUUUGAAACUCUCAGUUAGAACCCCCGAAAGGUCUGGUUUUCUAUCCCUGCUGCAACUCAGAGCUUGAGGCACCUCAAGAAUCCUGCUGCGGCCGGGCACAGUGGCUCACACCUGUAAUCCCAGCACUUUGGGAGGCCAAGGCAGGCGGAUCACAAGGUCAGGAGUUCGAGACCAUCCUGACUAACACGGUGAAACCCCGUCUCUACUAAAAAUACAAAAAAUUAGCCAGGCGUGGUGGUGGGCGCCUGUAGUCCCAGCUACUCGGGAGGCUGAGGCAGUAGCUGAGGCUGAGGCAGGAGAAUGGCGUGAACCUGGGAGGCAGAGUUUGCAGUGAGCCGAGAGCAUUGUAGUUAAUUGCAUAAGUUCGAAACAGACUGGCAGGGGCUUUUUUCUUAUUCCUUGUUUUAUUGCUUUGUCCGGGAUCACUAAUACGAUGUUGAUUUGUAGGAAUGAUACUGGAUGUCCUUCUCUCAUUUCUAAAGUUUCACCAUUAAGUUUGAUAUUUGCUGUGGAAAGUAAUUCCUGUGUAUUCUUAUUUAGCUAUCAGGUUUCUAAAAACAGCACUUUGGGAGGCUGAGGCGGGUGGAUUAUGAGGUCAAGAGAUCGAGACCAUCCUGGCCAACAUGGUGAAACUCCAAAUACAAAAAGUUGUCUUGAACUCCUGACCUCAGGUCUCCUCCUUCUUCUUUCUUCUUCUUCUCUCUCUUUCUGAGGCAGGGUGUCACUGCGCUGGGAUGCUAGGCUGCCUGUUGAGACUGGUGGUGCACCCAUAGGCAUGUGAUUUCACAUUUUAUUUAUUUAUUUAAUUUAUUUUGAGAUGGAGUCUUGCUCUGGACUUCACGUUUUAGAGCAUCCAUUUUCUCCCCUCUCUGCCCUUGCUCCUGUUAAAAAUUGCUCCCAUUUACCAAGGCUAAUGGGGGAGGUGGUGGCACUGCCCUUGAGGCGAGGCGUGGUUCAGCCUCCUUGCACACUCAAAUGGCCCUGAGGCUAAUUUUUGUAUUUGUAGUAGAGACGGGGUUUCAUCGUGUUGGCCAGGCUGGUCUGGAACUUCUGGCCUCAAGUGAUCCACCUCCCUCGGCCUCUCCAAGUGCUGGAUUACAGGUGUGUGCCACCGCGGCUGGCCACAUAAGUUUUUUUUUUUUUUUUUUAAAUCACAUUUAUGCC